CGAGUCGCAACACGGUGACGUGGAGCUAAUCUCUUAAAGCCGGUCCCAGUCCGGAUUGGAGUCUGCAACUCGACUCCAUGAAGUUGGAAUCGCUAGUAAUCCCGAAUCAGAAUGUCGGGGUGAAUACGUUCCCGGGUGUUGUACACACCGCCCGUCACGCCAUGGGAGUCUGUAAUACCUGAAGUCGGUAGCCUAACCAGCAAUGGAGGGGGGCCGCCCAGGGUAGGACAGGUGACUGGGGUGAAGUCGUAACAAGGUAAC
rnacentral:rRNA from 1 species